AUCUCUUUCUGGAGAUCCCUCCUUGGUGAAGCUUUCCCCUGUGAACCUGGAAUCUUCUGAUAUGGAUAAGCAGUCUUCUCUGCUUCCUUUGUAGCACCUUUCUAUCGUGCUGGUCCUUCAUCAUUGCACCUCUGAGCUCAGACAAAGCAGUUGCCUUCCAUGCCAAGUCCCUCAGGGUGCUGUCAUGUCCCCUCUCCUCAUGCUGCAGGGUAGAAAGCUACAGGGAGCACUGGCUGGGAAGUGUGGCUGCACAGAUCCAUGGAUAUAGCAUCAAGAUUUAACCUCCAUUGGAGCAGCUGUGAUGGUUCAGCAAAUUAUCUCAUCCGCAUCAGAAAUUGUGGCUUCAGUGAGUGUGACCUGAGGCUGAGCGUCAGACGUGUUUCUGUACCCUUUGUGGAUGGUUUGCAGAUGAUGAAUGCUUCUGGAACGAGCUGCUUUCUUCUCUCUCCUCUGAAAUGCAAUAAGUUUCUACUGUGCAAUACACCACAUUCCCCCUUGAAACAAAGGUUCCACUUUUCAACAGGAUUCUAAAAUCUUGGGAAGUGUAAGAUGUCUCUUUUCCUCCGAAAGAUGUCUAAAAAUCAGAAGUGCACAUGGUCCAUUGGUAAGAGUUUCUAUAAAAGAUGCUCCGACUCUCAGAGGUAGCACAAGUACCAAGUGAUGUGGAAAUUGCUAUGGUAACUACUGUUACUGAAUUCCAAAGUAAAAAGUCACAUAAAACCUGUGCAGCCGUUUAGUGAGCAGGUGAAAGCUUUGCCUAGGGCAGAGCUCAUAUGCUCACUCUCUGUGGCCCACUGUGUUCCUCCAGUGGCUUUCCCAUCCAGGAGUGGGCACUGGGUGCAUGGCAGUGCUGGGUGGUGACCAGCAGCUCUUGGUGCUCCUGGUGUGAGGGCUGCUGUCAGCCACAGGCUGCAUAAUGGGUGUGAACAAAACAAAUGAGCAAUGCUAAGCACUGCAUGCCUGAUAAUAUGCCAUGUUACAUAUAUCAGAGCCUGCGUUUUCCCUCUCCAGAUGAUUUAUGAACUGCUGAUCUGUAUCUUGUGUGAAGAGAAUGUCUUAUUUGUUAAUCUGAAUAACCACUGAGAUAUAUAGUCCCAUCCUUCACGACAUAGCCAUGGUUCCUGUAAGGGUGGCAUUGCUGCCCAAUAAACUUCUAUGACUUGG
ensembl:lncRNA